rnacentral:rRNA from 1 species
UCAUCUGUGGCGAACGGUUUACUAACACGCUGGGUGACCUGCCCAUCAGAGGGGGCAUAACAUUCGCGAAACGGAUGCUAAAACCGCAUAGGUCUUCGAGCCGCAUGGCUUGAAGAGGAAAAGAGGCGCAAGCUUCUGCUGAUGGAUGGACUCGCGGUGCAUUAGCUAGUUGGUGAGGUAACGGCUCACCAAGGCCGUGAUGCAUAGCCGACCUGAGAGGGUGAUCGGCCACAUUGGGACUGAGACACGGCCCAAACUCCUACGGGAGGCAGCAGUAGGGAAUCUUCCGCAAUGGACGCAAGUCUGACGGAACAACGCCGCGUGAGUGAAGAAAGUUUUCCGAUUCGU